AUAAGUUGACUGUCUUUGGCGCUAACGGAGUCAACAAAUAUUUGACAGUCAUUUUGAAGAUUUCAUAAUCCCAAGGAUAGUUGUUAAACGCCUUAAGAUCCUUGGAGAGCAUUAUUAAAUUGAGGCUUAUAUUGUUAUUAACGUCUCUCGCCCAAAGAAUAUUAUGUACAAACUAAACCAAGCACAAUGACUGCUUGUGCUUCUUUGAAAGUCUUUUACUUUUCAACGCUUCUAUCAAAUUUCUAUUUUUGAAGCUUGGACUAACAAUGGACACCAGGUCAUCACGAUCACAUGACUUACCUUUGCCUUUUUUGGGUGUGCAGGGUGCUUUUUUUGGGGGUUAGAAUAGGUAUAACUUGAGAAAGAGGAUAACAUUUUAGUCCAGUAACUAUGGCAAACUCCUUCCAACCAAAACAAACAGGCAUGCCACAGUAAUUUAUCCAUACCUCAUCCAUCUUAUCUUUGUUUUCAUACAUAA
rnacentral:lncRNA from 1 species